rnacentral:lncRNA from 1 species
UAUUAGCACACCUGGGUUUCGAACCCCAGGUCUGUGGGAUGAAUCCGGGUGGUGCUAGGCAGUGGGCUACGGUCGUGUUACUGACAAUAUAUAGAAUAAAAGUAAACAGUUGAAAAAAUUGUGUUGCGCGUGGGACUCGAACCACAACACCUCAGCUAGCAACCUGCUCGUUGACAAAGAUGGUGCCCUCUCUAAACAACAAAUACUUACCAGAACGGAUCUAUGGCAAACCACAUAGUUUCAGAUACGGGGAUUUCUCACAUCGGAGUUCACGGACCAGCGGCCAUGACAAAAGGAUGCAAAGGAAAGGUCGGGAUGAACUCGAGGAGGCACGGAUCUAGGCUUGGGGAUUCGGUAUCAUGCAACACUUGGCCGGUUCCAGCAGUUGGUGGUGGAGCUAUUUGACCGACAGUUUUACUGAACCUGUU